CGGACGGGUGAGUAAUGUCUGGGAAACUGCCUGAUGGAGGGGGAUAACUACUGGAAACGGUAGCUAAUACCGCAUAACGUCGCAAGGCCAAAGAGGGGACCUUCGGGCCUCUUGCCAUCGGAUGUGCCCAGAUGGGAUUAGCUAGUAGGUGGGGUAACGGCUCACCUAGGCGACGAUCCCUAGCUGGUCUGAGAGGAUGACCAGCCACACUGGAACUGAGACACGGUCCAG
rnacentral:rRNA from 1 species